ACCACAAGUUAUCUUUCUUUCACUAUGAAUUAUAAUUUUCACUACACUGACUUCUUAGAUCUCACUAUUUAUAAGGAUGAACAUAAUUUGGGA